rnacentral:rRNA from 1 species
GACAGAGGGUGCAAACGUUGUUCGGAAUUACUGGGCGUAAAGCGCGUGUAGGCGGCUAUGUAAGUCGGGCGUGAAAUCCCACGGCUCAACCGAGGAACUGCGUCUGAUACUGGAAGGCUUGAAUCCGGGAGAGGGAUGUGGAAUUCCAGGUGUAGCGGUGAAAUGCGUAGAUAUCUGGAGGAACACCGGUGGCGAAGGCGGCAUCCUGGACCGGUAUUGACGCUGAGGCGCGAAAGCUAGGGGAGCAAACGGG